CAGUAGCCGCGGUAAUACGUAGGUGGCAAGCGUUGUCCGGAAUUAUUGGGCGUAAAGGGCUCGCAGGCGGUUUCUUAAGUCUGAUGUGAAAGCCCCCGGCCCAACCGGAGAGGGUCAUUGGAAACUGGGAAACUUGAGUGCAGAAGAGGAGAGUGGAAUUCCACGUGUAGCGGUGAAAUGCGUAGAGAUGUGGAGGAACGCCAGUGGCGAAGGCGACUCUCUGGUCUGUAACUGACGCUGAGGAGCGAAAGCGUGGGGAGCGAACAGGAUUAGAUACCCCUGUAGUCCUGUCUCUUAUACA
rnacentral:rRNA from 1 species